rnacentral:rRNA from 1 species
GUAGGUGGCAAGCGUUGUCCGGAAUUAUUGGGCGUAAAGCGCGCGCAGGUGGUUCCUUAAGUCUGAUGUGAAAGCCCCCGGGCUCAACCGGGGAGGGUCAUUGGAAACUGGGGAACUUGAGUGCAGGAGAGGAAAGUGGAAUUCCACGUGUAGCGGUGAAAUGCGUAGAUAUGUGGAGGAACACCAGUGGCGAAGGCGACUUUCUGGCCUGUAACUGACACUGAGGCGCGAAAGCGUGGGGAGCAAACAGGAUUAGAUACCCUGGUAGUCCACGCCGUAAACGAUGAGUGCUAAGUGUUGGGGGGUUUCCGCCCCUCAGUGCUGCAGCUAACGCAUUAAGCACUCCGCCUGGGGAGUACGGCCGCAAAGGCUG